rnacentral:rRNA from 1 species
AUUGAACGCUGGCGGUAUGCUUAACACAUGCAGGUCGAACGAUGAGAAAGAGCUUGCUCUUUCGAUUAGUGGCGGACGGGUGCGUAACGCGUAGGAAUCUACCUAUUAGUGGGGGACAACUUAGGGAAACUUAAGCUAAUACCGCAUACGCCCUACGGGGGAAAGAAGGGGAUCGCAAGACCUUUUGCUAAGAGAUGAGCCUGCGUAGGAUUAGCUAGUUGGUGGGGUAAAAGCUAACCAAGGCGACGAUCCUUAACUGGUUUGAGAGAAUGAUCAGUCACACUGGAACUGAGACACGGUCCAGACUCCUACGGGAGGCAGCAGUGGGGAAUAUUGGACAAUGGGCGAAAGCCUGAUCCAGCAAUACCGCGUGUGUGAAGAAGGCCUUAGGGUUGUAAAGCACUUUCAAUUGGAAGGAAAACCUCGAAGCUAAUACCUUCGAGUUUGACAUUACCUUUAGAAGAAGCACCGGCUAACUCCGUGCCAGCCGCCGCCGUAA